rnacentral:sRNA from 1 species
AGAGCAUUGAGAGGACCUUUCCCUAGUACGAGAGGACCGGGAAGGACUCACCUCUGGUGUACUAGUUAUCAUGCCUACGGUAAACACUGGGUAGCCAAGUGCGGAGCGGAUAACUGCUGAAAGAAUCUAAGUAGUAAGCCCACCCCAAAAUGAGUGCUCU